CCAUUACGUAAACAAAGGAUGAUUAAAGAAAUAUACCCAUUUAUCGUGUCUGUAAGGUCUGUACCGCCUUCCAUAAUGCCCAUUACGUAAACAAAGGAUGAUUAAAGAAAUAUACCCAUUUAUCGUGUCUGUAAGGUCUGUACCGCCUUCCAUAAUGCCCAUUACGUAAACAAAGGAUGAUUAAAGAAAUAUACCCAUUUAUCGUGUCUGUAAGGUCUGUACCGCCUUCCAUAA